CCACCAGGACAUACCAGCUGGUUCACACAGAGAUACUGGCCGUCCACUAGCCAAAGUAAGGAGAUCACAGACAGGUGAAUAUAUUUUCCUUAAAUCGAGAAGCAGAACGAGCCAUGGCUAAGGUUACAAGCAAAGAUGGCGGCUCUGUAAAUAUACGCGAAAAAUUACCGGAAUCUUUAUCUGAUGAGACAAUCACAGUGGAUGUUACAGAAAUCCUGCCACCACCUUCACCAAUAUAUUUAUAUUACUUGGAAACCAAUCAUUUGCCAACUGAUGGACAAUCC